rnacentral:rRNA from 1 species
GUCUAUGGCCAUACCACCCUGAACACACCCGACCUUAUCUGAUCUUGGAAGCUCGACAGGGUCAGGCCUGAUUAAUACUUGGAUGGGAAA